UUAGAGAGCUUGCUUUUUAAGCUUAGUGGCGAACGGGUGAGUAACGCGUGAGCAACCUGCCUUUCAGAGGGGGAUAACAUUUGGAAACAGAUGCUAAUACCGCAUAAGAUUACAGUACCGCAUGAUACAGUGAUCAAAGGAGCAAUCCGCUGAAAGAUGGGCUCGCGUCCGAUUAGAUAGUUGGUGAGGUAACGGCUCACCAAGGCAACGAUACAUAGGGGGACUGAGAGGUUAACCCCCACAUUGGUACUGAGACACGGCCCAGACUCC
rnacentral:rRNA from 1 species